rnacentral:rRNA from 1 species
UACGGGGGGGGCAAGCGUUGUUCGGAAUUACUGGGCGUAAAGGGCUCGUAGGCGGCCAACUAAGUCAGACGUGAAAUCCCUCGGCUUAACCGGGGAACUGCGUCUGAUACUGGAUGGCUUGAAUCCGGGAGAGGGAUGGCGGAAUUCCAGGUGUAGCGGUGAAAUGCGUUGAUAUCAAACUGGAACUCCGGUGGCGAAGGCGGCACGCUGGACCUUUUCUGACGCUGAGGCGCGAAAGCCAGGGGAAGCCAAAGCGGGG